rnacentral:rRNA from 1 species
UUGACCUCGGAUCAGGUAGGGAUACCCGCUGAACUUAAGCAUAUCAAUAAGCGGAGGAAAAGAAAGCAACAGCGAUAGCCUCAGUAACGGCGAGUGAAGCGGCUACAGCUCAAAUUUGAAAUCUGGCCUCCUUUGGGGGUCCGAGUUGUAAUUUGCAGAGGAUGCUUUGGCAUUGGCGGCGGUCUAAGUUCCUUGGAACAGGACAUCGCAGAGGGUGAGAAUCCCGUACGUGGGCGCCUGCCUUUGCCGUGUAAAGCUCCUUCGACGAGUCGAGUUGUUUGGGAAUGCAGCUCUAAAUGGGAGGUAAAUUUCUCCUAAAGCUAAAUACCGGCCAGAGACCGAUAGCGCACAAGUAGAGUGAUCGAAAGAUGAAAAGUACUUUGGAAAGAGAGUCAAAUAGCACGUGAAAUUGUUGAAAGGGAAGCGCUUGCAGCCAGACUUGCCCGCAGUUGCUCACCUAGGCUUUCGCCUGGGGCACUCUUCUGCGGGCAGGCCAGCAUCAGUUUGGGCGGUCGGAUAAAGGCCUCUGUCAUGUACCACCCCUCGGGGUGGCCUUAUAGGGGAGGCGUAAUGCGACCAGCCCGGACUGAGGUCCGCGCAUCUGCUAGGAUGCU